rnacentral:rRNA from 1 species
GACGAACGCUGGCGGCGUGCUUAACACAUGCAAGUCGAACGGAAAGGCCCCUUUUGGGGUACUCGAGUGGCGCACGGGUGAGUAACACGUGUGUAACCUGCCCUUGACUUCGGGAUUACUUCAGGAAACUGGGGCCAAUACCGGCUAGGAAUCCUUGCUGCAUGGUGGGGGUUGGUAAGCUUCGGCGGUUUUGGAUGGGCUCGCGGCUUAUCAGCUUGUUGGUGGGGUAGUGGCUUACCAAGGCUUUGACGGGUAGCCGGCCUGAGAGGGCGACCGGCCAUAUUGGGACUGAGGGACGGCCCAGACGCCGACGGGUGGCAGCAGGGGGGAAUAUUGCUCCAUGGGCGGAGGGCGGAUGCAGAAGGGCCGCGUGCGGGAUGACGGCCUUAGGGUUGAAAACCGCUUGCAGCAGGGGCGAAGCUUGUGGUGACGGUACCUGCAGAAGAAGCACCGGCUAACUACGUG